ACCCUUUCAGGAUCACACCUGGAGAGUUUCCAGUACUCUACAGGCCUCGGGGACCGGAGGAAGAGUCAAGUAGAGGCAUACUUAUUCCAUUCCUAGCUUGGCCAGUGGCUAGCGAGUGGAAGGCAAUCUGCUAAAAGU
rfam:Ornithorhynchus anatinus chromosome 7, whole genome shotgun sequence.